rnacentral:rRNA from 1 species
AAGACCUUGCACUUUUGGAGCGGCCGAUGUCUGAUUAGCUAGUUGGUGGGGUAAUGGCCUACCAAAGCUUCGAUCAGUAGCUGGUCUGAGAGGACGGCCAGCCACACUGGGACUGAGACGCGGCCCAGACUCCUACGGGAGGCAGCAGUGGGGAAUUUUGGACAAUGGGCGCAAGCCUGAUCCAGCCAUGCCGCGUGAGUGAAGAAGGCCUUCGGGUUGUAAAGCUCUUUCAGCCGGGAAGAAAAGGUUGCGACUAAUAAUCGCAAUCCAUGACGGUACCGAAAGAAGAAGCACCGGCUAACUACGUGCCAGCAGCCGCGGUAAUACGUAGGGUGCGAGCGUUAAUCGGAAUUACUGGGCGUAAAGGGUGCGCAGGCGGUUUUGUAAGUCAGAUGUGAAAUCCCCGGGCUUAACCUGGGAACU